rnacentral:rRNA from 1 species
AACGACGCUGGCGGCAGGCCUAACACAUGCAAGUCGAGCGCCCCGCAAGGGGAGCGGCGGACGGGUGAGUAACGCGUGGGAACGUGCCUCUUGCUACGGAAUAGCCUCGGGAAACUGAGAGUAAUACCGUAUGUGCCCUUCGGGGGGAAAGAUUUAUCGGCAAAGGAUCGGCCCGCGUUGGAUUAGGUAGUUGGUGGGGUAAUGGCCUACCAAGCCGACGAUCCAUAGCUGGUUUGAGAGGAUGAUCAGCCACACUGGGACUGAGACACGGCCCAGACUCCUACGGGAGGCAGCAGUGGGGAAUAUUGGACAAUGGGCGCAAGCCUGAUCCAGCAAUACCGCGUGAGUGAUGAAGGUCUUCGGAUUGUAAAGCUCUUUUAGUGAGGAAGAUAAUGACGGUACUCACAGAAAAAGCACCGGCAAACUUCGUG